rnacentral:lncRNA from 1 species
AAAAACUACAAAAAGUAAUAAAAAAAUUGUUAAAAAUUACAAAAAAAAAUUACAAUAUGGAGAAACCCAUACAACUAACUAAAUCUUUUUCAACCUGGAAACAAAUUUUUAAAUAAAUUACUUCCUCCGUCCACGAAAGAACUUCAUAUCUUUCCUUUUUGGGACGUCCACAAAAGAACUUCUUAUCUAUUUUUUGACUAUACCCUACCACUUAUAAUCCUUUUACUUUUCACUUUUCACAACUCUCAAUAUUAAUUAUAACACAUUUUCAUCACCUCCAAUAUACUCAACUACCUUUUAUCCACUCUCAAUACACUCAACAAUAUUUUUUCUUAAAACCUGUGCCACUCCCUCCUAGUAAAUUCUUUCAUGGACUGAGGGAGUAAUUUUUAAAAAAAUUUAACCUUUGUUUGUUCGGACAAAUUUUAUCCAAAUGUGCACUCAUAAAUUAAACUGCACUUUAGACAAUAAAAUUUGAAUGCUCAGGCCAAGUUUGAUAGGGCAUAUUAGGAUUGAUAGCUUACAUUUCUUGUGUUUGACAGGCAAUAUAUGUAACAGCCAAGGCCCGUAAAAAACGUACGGCCCGCAUAAAAAACACUGUUAUUCUUUGUAAAUGUAACUCGCUCCCACCCCCAGUUCCACAAGGGAGAAAGACACAAGUAACCAAAAUGACAUAGUUUAUGACUUAUAUAGCCACCACUUAUAAUACAUGACUUUAGGGGUCAAAAGCCAUUGAAAAGACAAAACAACCCUUACUUAUAACUAAAUAAAAAUAAAAGAAAACUAAAAUAAAUCUUAACUUACAAAAUAUAAAAUAAAACAAAAUAAAAAUCUGGAAUUUGACUUAACAAUUAAAAAAAACUGAAAUUUGCAUUAACAAUUAAAAAAAGAAAAGAGAAAAGAGCCCUAAUUAAAACAUGAACUGAACGGUUUCUUCAUUUCAAAUUCUCGUGCUCUUCUUCUUCUUCCUCACA